rnacentral:rRNA from 1 species
AUUCCAGCUCCAAUAGCGUAUAUUAAAGUUGUUGCGGUUAAAAAGCUCGUAGUUGGAGUUCUGCCAGGUGCCACCUGUCCGCCCCAGUGGUGAGUACGUGGUGCGCAUUUGGCCCUUUCAAGGGGAGCGUAUUUGCACUUAAUUGUGUGGUGCGGGAUCCUUGACUUUUACUUUGAGGAAAUAAGAGUGUUCCAAGCAGGCUCUCGUCGUGCAUAGCUCAGCAUGGAAUAAUAGCAUUGGACCUCGAUUCUAAGCUGUUGGUUGCCAGAAGCGAGGUAAUGAUGAAGAGGGAUAGUUGGGGCAUUAGUAUUUAAUUGUCAGAGGUGGAAUUCUCGGAUUUGUUAAAGACUAACUUAUGCGAAAGCAUUUGCCAAGGAUGUUUUCAUCA